GACUUGGUAGCUCAGCUGGUAGAGCACAACACUUUUAAUGUUGGGGUCCUGGGUUCGAACCCCAGCCAAGUCA
rnacentral:tRNA from 2 species